rnacentral:misc_RNA from 1 species
UCAAACUUGGUCAUUUAGAGGAAGUACAAGUCGUAACAAGGUUUCCGUAGGUGAACCUGCGGAAGGAUCAUUAUUGAAUAAACCUGGUAGGUUGUCGCUGGCUUCUCGGAGCAUGUGCACGCCUGCCAUCUUUAUCCAUCCACCUGUGCACACAUUGUAGUCCUGGGAGAUGAAAACAGUGGAACCUCGAUAGCUAUCGGAUGUGGGGAGUGCCAUUGCGUCAAGCAUGGCUCUCUUCAAAACCCUGUAUUCACUCUUUUGACUAUGUUUUUCUAUACACCAUGUAGCAUGUUGCAGAAUGUAUCAAUGGGCCUCUGUGCCUAUAAUUAUCAAUACAACUUUCAGCAACGGAUCUCUUGGCUCUCGCAUCGAUGAAGAACGCAGC